UAUAUAUGCCUUGGGUGCAGCCCUAAAAAGCGGAAAAAAAAAAAAAAAAAGAAGAAAUAUAAAGAAAGUGUGGAUCCCAGUUGUCCCAUGUUAUGAGCUAUUGUGCUCAUACUGUGGUAUGAGCAAAAAAUACGUUUUCAUUGUGCCAAGACACUGAGAUUUCAUGAUUAUCAGUAAGCAUGCCCUGAUGAGAACAAUGAGUUAAUCAAGUUAAUCCCUCAGUUUGGCAGAGUGUAGCUCAUUAAUAACCUUGAAAUAAAUUUCUAGUGGAAUGCUGAGAAUGAAAGAAACAUGAUUGCAAUAUAUUCAAGAGUGAAUAUGGAGACACAAUUGCUUAGGGAGUUUUACCGUGAAAGCAGAAAGAUUAUAUAUAUAUUCAGAAUUUUUACAUAUACACACCUAUAUAUUACACAUAUAAACAUAUAUAUAUAUAUAUUAAAAACCAGUGGCCAAUUGAUAUGCAUAACGAGGGGUGCGGUAGGUAAAAUAAUAUUCCCCCAAAGAAGUCUGCAUUCCAACCCCAGAGCUGAUGAAUAUGUUAAAUUACGCAGCAAGGGGGAAUUAAGGUUGCAGGUGGGAAAAGGUUGCUAGUCAGCUGAUCUUCAAGUUAGGAGAUGAUCAGGUGAUCCCAAUGUAAACAUAGGAAUCCUUAAAAGGGGAAGAAGGAACCAGAAAACUCAGAAGCAGUGAGAAGUCGUAGUGAGAAGGGCUCAGCUGACUGUUACUGGCUUCAGGGAUGGAAGGCUGGCAGCCUGUGGGUGCUGGAAAGGCGAGGAGAUAGAUUCUCCUCUAGAACCUCCAGAAGGACCAUGCCCAUGCUGACAUCUUGAUGUUAGUCUGUUGAGAAGCCUUUUGGACCCUGACCUCCAGAAUGUGUCCUGAAGGGAAUGAUCACAGCCAGCACCUGGAUGCAGACCAAUUGGAAGCCAGACACUCAGGUUGCAGCCAAAAAAGUAUGUCGUUAAGGCCCUUCUGAGGAAAAACUGAGAGAGCCUCAACCUAAAAAUCCAAGCCACUGCAGUCUGGAUUCUUAUAUUGAAAUUAUGGAUUCUUAUGUUGAAAUUAUGCUAAAGAAAUUAAAUAGUCCUUUUAAAAACUGGCUGAAGAGAUUGUUACUAGAAUAAGUUUAAGAUUAGAUUAAUAAACAUGGGCCUUUUGAAGGCAACAUUACCAAAUAACAAACUUCUAAAUAAAAGGAGAUUUAAUGAAAGCUAAAGUGUGUCUGCAUUCAACAAGAAAAAAAUAUUGCUUAAGGUAAUUGAUUAAACAACAUUGUAAUAUAGGUUCAAUUCUGGUUAACCAAAUUGUCAAAUUCUAUUCCAGAUGACCAGAAAUAUAAUUCCAUCAGACAAAUUAUACCUAGAUAUCUGUACAAAUCAGUUGUUCUUAAACUUCUUUAGUCUUCAAACAAAGCAUUCUGGAGUUCCUGUCAUGGCUUAGCA